UCUGGAAAGGCUUAGCGCUUUAAGAUGUCAAAUCGUAUUUCAUAUUUUGACAUAUAAGUUGAGCGUGAGUACGUUAUUUAUAGAAUUUCUUACUGCAGUAGGAAUCACUUCCUUUUUGAAGUAAUAUCCCCGGACAAACAUUACUCUUAUGAGAAACAAAUCAGAAUAAGUGAAAUAAAACAAAAGCAUAGAAUUAUCUUAAGGGUGCGGAUUGUAUAAAGCCUAGGCUCUAAACAAUCAAAUUAGAGCCUACUUCAAAUAGUAUAGAGAAAUGUGGUUUCAAUACUGGAAAUCUUAGUGAUAGCCUUAAAAUAUAUUUUCAUCUUUAUUUAUAAAGUUCAAUGCUUCAAAAAUAAUGUAGAUCGACAGAUCUAUGAAAACUUCAAAAUCUUGAAAAUUGACAGUCCAAAAAUGUGUUAUAAAAUAUACCAUUUGCAAAACUCGAAAUCCAUUUUUUUCUCAUGUCCAUGCAUCUUGAUGUCGAGAUGAUCAAUUUGAGCAUAUUUGGGCAUCAAAACAACUUCUUCCAGUGAAAUUUUUGAGGUAGGCUCAAAUUUGAUUGUUUAGAGCCUCAGCUCUAUAUAAACUUUUCCCUUAUCUUAAUAAACAAUUCAAGUAACUGAAACUGUGACAUUCUGGAACUAUUUAUCAAAAAUAACAUUUUGGAACUUUAGUAUUAUUCUGACUUCUACCUAGUGCAUAUCUUGUAAACGCCUACUUCACUGAUAUUAAAGAGCAAUCAAUAUGCCGCAAAAAUGGUCCCAUCACAGAUAAAACCACACUAAAGACAUGUCCAAAGAAACAUACGCAAUUUUAAUAAGAUUUUUUAUAUUCUUAACGAUAUAUUACUUAUAGAAAUAAUGUACAAAGGUCCUCACAGGAAGUGAGCUUAAGGCAGCUGACAAGUCCUGUGCUCUAUACAAAAAAAUGCUUUAGUAUUAAUAAAAAAGAGUGAUUGGCAGCCUACACCUCAAGUGCUCAAGCAAGUGAGUAGAGAAGGAGAUAAAAGAAACAGCAGAGUAUAAAACGGAAGAAAGAUGGUGGGGUUGAGAGAAUAGGAGAGCAGAAGUUGUGAUAGAGAGGAAAGAAGGUGAGUUACAGGGAAAAAGUGAUUAACAAGAGACCGAGUAGUUAUAGGAAAGUGAAUUAGAGACAGAGAGAGCAUAUUUUAAAGAAGGGAGGGGAAGAGAGAAAAGUAAGAUGGGUGAGAAUGGAAGAGAGAGAAAAGAAACAAGUUUCUUUUUUCUUUUCUUUUUUUGUGUGUUGGGGGGGGGGGUGUAGAACAAGGAAGAGAGAGGAAUGUCAAAGGAGAUCCAAAAAGUAUGCAUCCAAAAGAGUACACUUUUAAAGGACUUUAGCUUGUUGGUGAGGCAACACUAGCAGUGCCCUCCUUAGCCAGAGCUCUGCAGCCACGUUGGCUUCCACCAAAUAUGAUGGAAGACAACUCAAAGCAGCCUGCAUAGCUCGAAAACCCGUUAAAUAUAUAAGAAAAAUGCCAAAGUUUCAUUCAUCCUUUGAGCCCAAAGUACAAUAUUCUUGGAGUCACCUUCAACUAUUAGAUUUUCACCCCAAGUUGUAUUAGACAUUUUCGAGCCUUCAAGGAGAACAUUUGUCUCAGUCCAGAUGGCGCCAGCAAUGUUAACGGAGCCAAAAAAAGAGAAUAAGAUGCUGCCUUCAUAGUCCCUGAAGAUACGCCCGAAACCAAAAGGACCUGGGUUCCCUUCGUCACAUCCAUCAAAGUUGAGCUUUACUGUGCCUUGAAUUGAAGGGAUCCCCAAAGUAGAUCGUUUUGGUUUGAGAGGUUUAAGAGUGAUUGCGUCACCCAAAUGUGACAGAAAGGCAGACUUGGAGAAAGGCUCUUCUGCUGGGUCUCAAAAGAUUCAACCCCUCUUGGGGUCAACACUAGGUGGUGGAAGGAGACGCCCAAAACAUCAUUUCUUGGGCAGCAGGCACCUCCCCUUCUCCUUGGUACCUCUCCACGAUUUUUGAUGAAAUCAACUAUAUAUGCAGGGAUAUGAACGUCUUAUGGAGGCAUACUUGGCGGAUGUCAAACAAGCUCGCCGAUCUUCUUGCUAAAGACGGAGCACGGGCAAGUGUGGAAGACCCUGACCAGUCCAUCUCCUUUUUUGCUCUGGACCAUAGAGGCUUCCCUGGACUAUAGUUACCUUUUCUUUUUUACUGUACUUGGGCGUCUCUUAUAAGCCCCUUUUUGGCUACUCGCUAAUUUUUUGUAAUCCGGCAGGACAGGGCUGAUUUUUUGUAUAGGGUCUCUGGACCUAUUUUUUGACCAAGGUACCCGCCUCGGGGGUACUCGAGGUCCUCUCUCCCCCCCUUUCACUUGUAUUCUCUCUCUUAUAGCAAUACAAAGUUAACAUUAUCAAAAAAAAAAGGCAGACUUGGAGAAGUGUUAAAGGAGUUUGCGGUUUGUAGCCCAAAAGAUGGCAAGAAUUUGGGAAUGAUCUGCAAUAUUUGAUCUCGUCUUUUGUUUUCCUCUAAAAAUUCUUGAGUUUGAAAGAUGGACAAUGUGAUCUAGGCAAGUAUAUCCAGUUGAAAAAAUUUUGUUCUUUUUUUUAUUCAUAUUGGUUAGAACACUGACUGGUGUCCAAAAUUACAAGUAUAUUCAUAAAAAUAAACCCUAAAUCUUCUCAUGCGUACAAUUACAAUUCUUUACAAUCAUAUAAAAAUACAAUGCAUGAAGAAUCAAGAAACAUGGAGCCAUAGAAUUACCGAACACCUUGCCUCAAGUUACCCACAAGGACUUCGUACACCCCAUAUCGAGUCUCCUCCACCAAUGGCACACGAGAUCUCGGUUCUAACCUUGUCUCAUAAUUCAAGAAGCCUACACAAAACCUCUUGAGAAUAUGACAUGGGACGAAAGCAAUCUCAUACCACAAGACAUAGGCACAUGUACUAUCUGCUCUAGGGCAUGUCAUCCCUUGGUGGCUUGGGCUUGCCCCUUAGGGUUUCACCACACACACACACACACACAAUGUUUGAAACCCUAAAACAAAGAGAAACAAGAGAGAGAGAGAGAGUGGGGGGUACCUGCUUGUGGGUGAAAGAGAGAGGCCAAUCCAAUUCCAAGUAUGUAGAGAACACACCCCAUAUAAAAUCUAGGGUAUUGGGGUCUAGGGUCUUUCCAUCAUUACGAGAUUUAAUCCUGAUCGUAGAUCACGGAGACCUGUGGGGUGAAGAGAUCUUAGCCCUUCAUUCCUUAGAUCAACCAUCAUGAUUAGAUGAAUGAGCUAGAACCAUUAUCCCUCAGUUUCCAUAACUCUAUUCCUAUCAAAUAUUUGUGUAGAGAAAAUACUAUGUAUUUACAUAUUAGAUUUCAAUCAAUCUCUACACCUUCGUAUUUUAAAACAAUCAAUACUCAUUUCACAAAACCUUCCUUUAAUUUCAAAUCAAUUAGGUGGCUUCCAUCACAAGCCACACUCAAAAGGAAAGAAUGAAGUAAGUUGAGCUUCCCACACAUGGUGGGCAAUGUGGGCCCCACACCCCCACCCAAUGGGCUCAUAUGUGGCGAGCCCAAAGUCCUAAUGGUCCCCCAUACGCCCAAAAGAAUUUUAUAUUAAUAAAAUGAAUUUUAGAAAACCAAUAAAUAUUUUUUCCUUCUCUAUGAAUUAAAUAAAUCUAGAAAUUUGAUUUUUGCUUAUUUAAAAAUCCUUUUUCACCAAAAUAAAAUAUCCAGAGAGAUCUUUAUACUUAAGAGUAUUAAAGUCAACUAAUAAAUGAAGGAGACACGAUCCUAGCCCAUGGAUUACAAUUUCCUCCCUGAGGAGGAGUCCAAGACCCAUACUAGCACAAUACCUCAUGAGUCCCUCUAACACAAUCCAGUGUUGUAGGUAAACAUCUCUUCGGCACAUGUACACGACACACCCUCACUUAGACGGCUACUUCCAAGACGGCUAGUGUACAUACCGUGCAAUGGUAAUGAAGAGGCCCUUGUCCUCACUGGCCAACCACCGCACACAGGGGUCACACCCAGUCCCUUAGCCAACCACCUUGAGCACAACUCCAACCUCACCAAGGGAUGCAGCACAUCAAAACCCUUAUCAGUUGUGCACAAAUGCCCAGGGCUACAAGUUUUUAAACAUCAACCUGAGCCGUAGCCCAUCAAAACUCAGGUGAGUCACAGCAUCAGUGAUACCUCACAGACCCUAGACCAUGCCACAAAGUCCAUUCAGACCACGCUCCACUAGAGCUAUCACAUCCCUAUAGUCAUAGUUUUACAUGCUCUCAUAAGGCCCUUAAAUGGCCACACAACCCCAACAGAGUUUUUCUCCCCAAAGAUCGUCCAUAGAGUGGAGAGCCCUCCAAAGGAAGAUGAUUGCUUUUGGAUUGGGGGCGCGGGGUGUAGAAGAAGGCCAAGAAGAGUUGUUUCGGUGGAACUGGUGAUCACCACUGCCAAUUGAAAUCUUUCAAGUUGAUGGCCCAAAGAGCAUCAAUGAAACUACAAUGAAGGAAGUGGAGACUAUGAGUUUCCUAUGCUUCCAAGCACAUACUAGAAUCGAUUCGCAAGUGGAAAAACCUCUUAUUUGUAAUUGUUCCACAGUGAGAUUAUGAUUGCAGAUCACCAGCCAACCAAAGGUGUGCUUUUGGGAAGGACUUUAUAGAACGAUGAUAUUAAGAAAAUUCCAGUAUGGGACUAGGUCCAAAUUCUUUUCAUCACAAUCAAAGUUGGAAAUGGAAAAGGCUAACAAAAGACUACGAAGGGUCAGGAGGACUUCGGUCUCAUAGUCCGAGAGUGAUCUUCUAAAGGUGGUGUUCUAAACAACUAAGUGUUGAGAGAUGUUCGAGCAUUGGACUACCAUGGCAUUGGGAGGGCCGAUAAUUUGGAGAAGGUUUGGCUACAAGACUUUGAGAGGAUGUGAUCCAAUCAGGUGUUGGGCAAUAAGACACAUGUUGCCUCGGCUCACCUUGUAUCUAAUGAAGGAUAAACCAUUGCCAACAUUCAUAGAUACUCAUCUAUACCAUAGGGCCAAUUUCUUCGUACCUUAAGAGAAAAACCAACCAAGAAUGUCUAUUCCAUAUAUGCGAAAAAAGACCUCUCACCAUAGAAGGUCAUGGCCAUUGGCAAAAUGCCACCACCAUUUCCC
rnacentral:lncRNA from 1 species